rnacentral:rRNA from 1 species
GAACGAGAAAGUGGAGCAAUCCAUGAGUAAAGUGGCGACCGGGUGAGUAACACGUGACUAACCUACCUCCGAGUGGGGAAUAACUCCGGGAAACCGGGGCUAAUACCGCAUAACAUCGCAAGAUCAAAGCAGCAAUGCGCUUGGAGAGGGGGUCGCGGCUGAUUAGCUCGUUGGCGGGGUAACGGCCCACCAAGGCGAAGAUCGGUAUCCGGCCUGAGAGGGCGCACGGACACACUGGAACUGAAACACGGUCCAGACUCCUACGGGAGGCAGCAGUGGGGAAUUUUGCGCAAUGGGGGAAACCCUGACGCAGCAACGCCGCGUGGAGGAUGAAGCCCUUUGGGGCGUANACUCCUUUCGACUCGGACGAUAAUGACGGUACGAGUGGAAGAAGCACCGGCUAACUCUGUG